rnacentral:rRNA from 1 species
UACAGAGGUCCCGAGCGUUGUUCGGAUUCAUUGGGCGUAAAGGGUGCGUAGGCGGCUUUCUAAGUUUGAUGUGAAAUCCUGGGGCUCAACCCUGGAACUGCAUUGGAUACUGGAAGGCUAGAGUACUGGAGAGGAAACUGGAAUUUACGGUGUAGCAGUGAAAUGCGUAGAUAUCGUGAGGAAGACCAGUGGCGAAGGCGGAUCUCUGGACAAAUCCUGACGCUGAGGCGCGAAGGCUAGGGGAGCAAACGGG